UCUAGGUUUCAGACUCACAUAACAUAAUUUUAAAUGCAUAUGCUGCAAACAUGGACAGGAGUUGGAUUGCAGUGGACAAGAAGACAAAAUGAGUUGAUGUCAUUCUUUCAUGACCCUUGCAAAUCUAGCAACGGAAAUUCGUAGGCAAAACUUUCAGUUUCAUUUGGUUCUGGUUAAUGUUGAAGAUGGAAAAGCACAAAAAAAAUAUAAAAAUGAAAGCAGAUACAUGUAUGAUAGGAGAUCAUAUAGACAUUUGGUGAUCCAAAAAUAACUGGAGUUCAUGAAACAAGACUGAUUGCUGGGACACAUUUUUGUUGAUAAACAUGUUUAUGAUGAAGAAAAACUUGGAUAGUAUUACGGAUACUUGAAUAAGGCUCUGAUCUGUCUUUGAUUUUUCCUGUUGGUGUUAAAAAAUUGCAAGCUCAAAUAAAAAUAAAUUGAAAUGGAACUCAU